rnacentral:misc_RNA from 1 species
AAUUGGUCAAAUUCAGAUAACGCCACGUUACGAAUAAACCGAGAGCCGAAAGAAGAAGAUUCAAAAGGCCUGAUAAAAGAAGAAGGGGUUGAAGAUGAUAAAGAAAGAUUCAAAGAGGACGAAGGAAGAGAGAAGAAGGAAAAUGAAGUUGGUGUGGAAUUGGGUUUCAGAGAAGAAAGGGUUUGUGGAGUUACAAAGAGAAAUUGAAGAGAAGAAACUGAAGAAGCCAUUGUUGCUAAGACGCCGAGUUGAUGAUAGUGUAGAAGUGGAA